rnacentral:lncRNA from 1 species
UUUGCCGGAAUAAAGUCAAUCUCAACGGUUGCAUCGUUUCGUUUUUUGAUUCAGCGCUCCACCGAAAUUAAGGGUCGCGACCCUUCUCCGAAAUCACGACAAGAUUAUAGUUGAUAUCAGAUGGUGAGGAUCAUCGAACACCCUGCGUUUUCCUGCAACUCUUCAUCCUGCAAUGGCCAUAUCGCUUAAAUUGAAAAAACCGUUGUGCAAGCACUUCUGGCGAUUCGUAACUGCGUCACUUCGUCUCCGGCGAGUCGUGCCGCUGCCUCUACGUCACCAUUGAGUCGUAACCGCCGCCUCAAUGUCUCAAUCGAUUCUUAACCGCCGCCUCGACGUCUCCGGUGAGUCUUAACCGCAGUAAAUGGUGUCGCGGUGACGGUGCCGCUGAGGCUGGGCGGUUCUGUUUCCGGUGAAGGCUAGGCGGUGGUCAUGUUGAGUAGUGGUGAUGAUAGUGAAAAUGGGAGAUGUUUCUUCUUUAAUUACUUUGUUUUUUUUGCACGAUUUUAUUAUUCAUCUAUGGCGAUUUGUUGUUUGUUCAUGAUGUUCAGUUUGCGGUAUU